rnacentral:rRNA from 1 species
GAUGAACGCUAGCGGGAGGCCUAACACAUGCAAGCCGAGCGGUAUUGUUUCUUCGGAAAUGAGAGAGCGGCGUACGGGUGCGGAACACGUGUGCAACCUGCCUUUAUCUGGGGGAUAGCCUUUCGAAAGGAAGAUUAAUACUCCAUAACAUAUUGAUUGGCAUCAAUUAAUAUUGAAAGCUCCGGCGGAUAGAGAUGGGCACGCGCAAGAUUAGCUAGUUGGUGAGGUAACGGCUUACCAAGGCGAUGAUCUUUAGGGGGCCUGAGAGGGUGCUCCCCCACACUGGUACUGAGACACGGACCAGACUCCUGCGGGAGGCAGCAGUGAGGAAUAUUGGUCAAUGGGUGCAAGCCUGAACCAGCCAUCCCGCGUGAAGGACGACUGCCCUAUGAGUUGUAAACUUCUUUUGUAUAGGGAUAAACCUACCCUCGUGAGGGUAGCUGAAGGUACUAUACGAAUAAGCACCGGCUAACUCCGUGCCAGCCGCCGCGGUAAUAC